rnacentral:misc_RNA from 1 species
GAUGAAGAACGCAGCGAAAUGCGAUAAGUAAUGUGAAUUGCAGAAUUCAGUGAGUCAUCGAAUCUUUGAACGCACAUUGCGCCCGCCAGUAUUCUGGCGGGCAUGCCUGUUCGAGCGUCAUUUCAACCCUCAAGCCCAGCUUGGUGUUGGGGAUCGGCACAGGCACCCUCGGGCGCCCGCCGUCCCCUAAAUCUAGUGGCGGUCCCGCUGCAGCCUCCUCUGCGUAGUAGUUUUCUCCUCGCAAGGGCAGCUCGGUGGCGACCUCGCCGUAAAACCCCCAACUUCUGAAAGGUUGACCUCGAAUCAGGUAGGAAUACCCGCUGAACUUAAGCAUAUCAAUAAGCGGAGGA